rnacentral:rRNA from 1 species
ACCACUUCGGUGGGGAUUAGUGGCGAACGGGUGAGUAACACGUGGGCAAUCUGCCCUUCACUCUGGGACAAGCCCUGGAAACGGGGUCUAAUACCGGAUAACACUCCCGCACUCAUGUGCGGGGGUUAAAAGCUCCGGCGGUGAAGGAUGAGCCCGCGGCCUAUCAGCUUGUUGGUGAGGUAAUGGCUCACCAAGGCGACGACGGGUAGCCGGCCUGAGAGGGCGACCGGCCACACUGGGACUGAGACACGGCCCAGACUCCUACGGGAGGCAGCAGUGGGGAAUAUUGCACAAUGGGCGAAAGCCUGAUGCAGCGACGCCGCGUGAGGGAUGACGGCCUUCGGGUUGUAAACCUCUUUCAGCAGGGAAGAAGCGAAAGUGACGGUACCUGCAGAAGAAGCGCCGGCUAACUACGUG